rnacentral:rRNA from 1 species
GAUGAACGCUGGCGGCGUGCCUAAUACAUGCAAGUCGAGCGAACGGACGAGAAGCUUUCUUCUCUGAUGUUAGCGGCGGACGGGUGAGUAACACGUGGAUAACCUACCUAUAAGCCUGGGAUAACUUCGGGAAACCGGGGCUAAUACCGGAUAAUAUUUUGAACCGCAUGGUUCAAAAGUAAAAGACGGUCUUGCUGUCACUUAUAGAUGGAUCCGCGCUGCAUUAGCUAGUUGGUAAGGUAACGGCUUACCAAGGCAACGAUGCAUAGCCGACCUCAGAGGGUGAGCGGCCACACUGGAACUGAGACACGGUCCAGACUCCUACGGGAGGCAGCAGUAGGGAAUCUUCCGCAAUGGGCGAAAGCCUGACGGAGCAACGCCGCGUGAGUGAUGAAGGUCUUCGGAUCGUAAAACUCUGUUAUUAGGGAAGAACAUAUGUGUAAGUAACUGUGCACAUCUUGACGGUACCUAAUCAGAAAGCCACGGCUAACUACGUG